AGGUGGACGUGUUUGCAUAUGGCAUCAUCCUGUGUGAAAUCAUUGCCCGGAUUGCAGCAGAGACGGAUUUCCUCCCAAGGACAGAGGACUUUGGUCUGGAUGUUAAUGCAUUUGAGAACAUGGUUGGGGACUGUCCACCUGCUUUCUUCAGCCUAGCUGUCACCUGCUGUAAUGUGACCACCUUAUUGUUCUCUUCCAAUUUUUACACCUGAUCCAGACUAGUGGAGCACAGGUCACCAACAACAUCCAGAGGAGUGGUGUAAGAUGUAAGUUAAAUCCUCUCACACCUGAGUCUCCAGUUAACCUGGCAGAUGAGGAGAAGGUACAAAGUGGUGACCAGGACUCAAACCCAACAACUGUAACUACUACUACUACUACUACUACUACUACACCAUAGUGGUGUCCAGAGGACAACGUCUGUACCUGAAAUGAAGCAGAUAAUGGACACACACAGAUAUUGGCAGUACUAUAGGUAAUGAGUAAUAAAAUAAGUAAUUAUAAAGCUUAUGUCAUACACAUGUAAGUAGGCACAAUAAAAUGUCUAACUCCUCAAAUAUCUUUCAAAGGUCUUUAAAGCACUGCUCUGUUUUAACCUUUGUCUGCUUCGUAAGCGCAGGGAAAUGUUUGCUUCCUCUGAAUCCUGAGCACUUCACAUGGAGUAGAUGCUGUGAAAAGGUCGGAUGUCUACACACACAUGCUCACGCAGGGGCACUAAGCUACUUAGUCUGUUCCAGUCACGCCGUCACUACACAUACACAAACACAAGUACCAACAUAACAUAGGGCCACACGGCAAACAACGAACAGCUGAGUUAGAAAAUGAAAGUUCACCAAUCAGUUCUGGAUGCUUUGCUUGGUAUCACUGUUAUUAGCUGUUUAGCUGCAUGUUUCUCCCUGUUCCUCGUCUGAUCCUAAUAAAUAAGCCAAGCUGCAUCCAACCCAAGGCAGCUCUAGAAGCAGAGCACUCGCACACCAACUGUAGUAGCGGUGGUUUGAUUCCUGAUUCCCAUGUUACGAAGUGUCCUUUGGCAAAACACUGAAUUUGUGUGUAUGUGAAUGAGUGAGUGAAUGGGUGAAUGAGACGUGGCAUCAAAGCGCUCUGAGUGCUGAUGAGGUAGGAAAGGAGGUGCGCUGAACUGUGCUGCUGGCGGGACUGUUCUAGUCAUUUAAAUAUUCCAGGUGUUUUUCUAUCUCACAGGGUAGCGACUGUCUGUGAAAGGCUCAUAGUUUGGUAAACAAAGCUACAGAUUAUUAAGAAGGAGCCGAUGCGCAGUCAUUGGUGUUUCAGGUACAGGUUGACCCACCAGCAGGGGGCGCAACAGUUGAGACCUUCCCAGAGGAGACAUCCAAAGCAGCAUUUCAACUCCAACAGUAAAAACGAGCACAUUUCAUCAUCAUGACACAACUCUGACUCAGUACCGACCAAUCACAACGAGAGAUCUUUUGACUGACCUUUUGGCCGAGGCAGUAAACUCCACACUCCACCACAUGUCCCACCACUACAGCAGUGAUGACUGGACACUGACUCACAUGCUAAAUACUAAUUAUAUGUGUCGUAUUUGGUUAAACAGUGGGCAGAAGGGAGUAACACACCU